UAAAACAAAGCAUUGCGAUGGU
rnacentral:siRNA from 1 species